rnacentral:rRNA from 1 species
CCCUAUGGGGCGCAGCCGGGCCAGAGGGACCUGGUGCUCCCGAGGAUCCUCGGACAUGAACUUUGCGGCACACGCGUGGAAACGGGCGAACGCUUUGUCUUCUGGCCUGGCCAGUCCUGCGGCGUAUGUCCACCCUGUUCCAGGGGAUGGGAAAACCUCUGCUCCCGGAUGAAGAUCGUCGGUUUUCAUAUGGAUGGCGGCUUUGCCGAGUAUGCGAGGAUCUCAGAAUCGAGCAUCUUGAAGGUCCCUGAAAACCUGCCGGAUCCUCUGGCCUGCCUGGCAGAGCCCCUUGCCUGUACCCUCAAUGCUCUCGAGCAGGGUAAGGUGAGCAAGGAUCAAACCCUCCUGAUUUACGGCGGGAGAGC